rnacentral:lncRNA from 1 species
CUGCAAAAGCAGAACAACAAAUGAAGAAUUGGGAUGGAGUUGCAAAGUAAUGCAUAUAUCUCACCGUGCCUUCGCAUUGGAGCCACCGUCGCCCUGGGUUCCUUGUCGUCGUCGACCUAUAAACUGCUGCAGCAUUCCCGCAAUGACAUUUCAGCUCUGGGAUUCCAGGCGGAGAGCUGCUCGACUGCAGCCAUGCUGACUGAAUCGGUCUUGGCGCCAUACCAACCUCGCCGUCGUCAUCGCCGCCGUCGACGUCGCCACCGUCGCCGUCACCGCGGUCCCCCGCUGUCCCCUACCACCGUCGUCCCCCAUCGUCACCCGCCGCAGUCCUAUCGGCUAAGGUUCUGCCGCUCUGUUUGAGCUGCCCCGACUGGCCAGAUCCAGCCUUGUAUCACUAGAGAGAGGGGCAAUAGCGACCAUACGAAAAUAUGGGAGAGGGAAAAGAGGCAGGAUCCUGAUUUGUGGGCCCAGAAUGGCAAGAAUCAAAUUUUACAGAAAUACGGAUGGCAUGUGCGAGCGGUUUCACGAAUUGUAAUGGUAUUUUUUCAAAUUCGUUUAGUUCCAAUGGCAUGUAUCCAAUUUAUCUUCAAUUUACCAGUAGAUGAGGAGACGACCGUUCGUUUCUGAAGGGAUCGGUAGGGACACAUGGGCGUGGUUUAACCGGUAGAUUAAGAGUUGCCAGCUAUAAACAUAUUUUAAAGAGAUAAAAGAUAAGAGAGAAGACAAUGAACUACUAAUUUGUGUAGAUAGCUAUAGUAUGGGCUCCAAGACACAAUGUGUGUAUG